rnacentral:rRNA from 1 species
UACGUAGGGGGCGAGCGUUGUCCGGAAUUACUGGGCGUAAAGGGUGCGUAGGCGGCCGAUUAAGUUGGAUGUGAAAUACCCGGGCUUAACCUGGGGGGUGCAUCCAAUACUGGUUGGCUAGAGUGCAGGAGAGGGAAGCGGAAUUCCUAGUGUAGCGGUGAAAUGCGUAGAUAUUAGGAGGAACACCAGUGGCGAAGGCGGCUUUCUGGACUGUAACUGACGCUGAUGCACGAAAGCGUGGGGAGCAAACAGGAUUAGAUACC